AUUGAACGCUGGCGGCAGGCCUAACACAUGCAAGUCGAGCGAGCGGCGGACGGGUGAGUAAUGUUUGGGGAACUGCCCGUUGGAGGGGGAUAACUACUGGAAACGUUAGCUAUUACCGCAUACUAUCAGAUGUGCCCAGAUGGGAUGAGCUAGGAGGGGGGGGAACGGCUCACCUAGGCGACGAUCCCUAGUUGUUCUGAGAGGCUGAUCAGCCACACUGGGACUGAGACACUGACCAGACGCAUACGGGAGGCAGCAGUGGGGAAUAUUGGAAAAUGGGCGAAAGCCUGAUGCAGCCAUGCCGCGUGUUUGAAGAAGGACUUCGGGUUGUAAAGCACUUUCAGCGGGGAGGCGUUACCCACAGAAGAAGCACCGGCUAACUCCGUGCCAGCAGCCGCGGUAAUAC
rnacentral:rRNA from 1 species